rnacentral:lncRNA from 1 species
AGCAGCUGGAGUCCAGAAAUGAUUUUUUUUUUUCCCCGACGAAUUUAGGAUUUUGCCGCAGUGUUCAUCUGCAGUCCCAGAAUCCUCCGCCGUUAAAACACGUCUUUAGAAAGUAAUCCAAGGAAGGCCUGAAGAACACGCAACUUUGAGCAUGGAGGACGGUGCCAGCGUAACUAAAGGACCAGGCCACGGCCCAUCACCUCCGGCUACCGCUACCUUCACGGUCCCUCCUUCGCUCCGGAGCUGUACAUAGGCUGCGCGAGCUUUCCACAGUGGCUCUCUGCGGAACCUGCCCAGUGGGUUACUAGACGGCUUCUGUGUGGGAGAAUAAACCACAUGUAGUCUGACAAGAGGUAUUUACAACUGCUUAGCCUGUUCAACUGGAAAUCAACAAAAAGAUGACAUACCCCUGACUCGGUGUUUUACAAAUCAAAAGUCUGGAUCCAUAAACAGCCCACUUGAGGAACAUAGAGCCA